rnacentral:rRNA from 1 species
UUUAAUUGAAGAGUUUGAUCAUGGCUCAGAUUGAACGCUGGCGGCAGGCCUAACACAUGCAAGUCGAGCGGCAGCACAGAGGAACUUGUUCCUUGGGUGGCGAGCGGCGGACGGGUGAGUAAUGCCUGGGAAAUUGCCCGGUAGAGGGGGAUAACCAUUGGAAACGAUGGCUAAUACCGCAUAACCUCGCAAGAGCAAAGCAGGGGACCUUCGGGCCUUGCGCUACCGGAUAUGCCCAGGUGGGAUUAGCUAGUUGGUGAGGUAAGGGCUCACCAAGGCGACGAUCCCUAGCUGGUCUGAGAGGAUGAUCAGC